rnacentral:rRNA from 1 species
UGGGGAAUAUUGGACAAUGGGCGAAAGCCUGAUCCAGCCAUGCCGCGUGUGUGAAGAAGGUCUUCGGAUUGUAAAGCACUUUAAGUUGGGAGGAAGGGCAGUAAGCGAAUACCUUGCUGUUUUGACGUUACCGACAGAAUAAGCACCGGCUAACUCUGUGCCAGCAGCCGCGGUAAUACAGAGGGUGCAAGCGUUAAUCGGAAUUACUGGGCGUAAAGCGCGCGUAGGUGGUUCGUUAAGUUGAAUGUGAAAGCCCCGGGCUCAACCUGGGAACUGCAUCCAAAACAGGCGAGCUAGAGUAGGGCAGAGGGUGGUGGAAUUUCCUGUGUAGCGGUGAAAUGCGUAGAUAUAGGAAGGAACACCAGUGGCGAAGGCGACCACCUGGGCUCAUACUGACACUGAGGUGCGAAAGCGUGGGGAGCAAACAGG